CAGUAGCCACGGGAAAACGGAGGGUGCAAGCGUUAAUCGGAAUUACUGGGCGUAAAGCGUGCGUAGGCGGUGAGUUAAGUCUGCUGUGAAAUCCCCGGGCUCAACCUGGGAAUGGCAGUGGAUACUGGCUCGCUAGAGUGUGUCAGAGGAUGGUGGAAUUCCCGGUGUAGCGGUGAAAUGCGUAGAGAUCGGGGGGAACAUCAGUGGCGAAGGCGGCCAUCUGGGACAACACUGACGCUGAGGCACGAAAGCGUGGGGAGCAAACAGGAUUAGAUACCCCAGUAGUCCCUGUCUCUUAUAA
rnacentral:rRNA from 1 species